UGGUGUGGUGUAUGUAUGUGAGGUAUGUGUUUGCUCUAUGUGUGUGGCACUGUAUGUACGUGUGCAGUGUGUGGGGAGUAUGUGUGGUGUGUGUGGUGUGUGGGGAGUAUGUAUGGGGCGUGUGAUGUAUGUGGUGCUGUAUGUGUGUGGUGUAUGUGUAGUAGAUUCAUGUGUGUGGUGUGGGGGUGUGUGCACGUGUGCACAUACUGUGUGGUGUGUGAUGUCUGUGGGGGUGUGUGUGCACAUGGUGUGUACACAGUGUGUGUGGUGUCAGAGGUGUGCAUGUGUGCACAUGGUGUGUGUACAGUGUGUGGGGUGUGUGCAUGUAUACAUGGUGUGGGUGCAGUGUGGUGUUUGUGUGUGGUGUCUGGGGUGUGUGUGCAAGUGCACAUGGUGUGUGUGCAUGGUGUGUGCAUGUAUACAUGGUGUGUGUGCAGUGUGUGGUGUCUGUGGUGUCUAGGGUGUGUGUGCGUGUGCACAUGGUGUGGUGUGUGCAGUGUGUGGUGUCUGUGUGCAGGGUGUGUGUGCAUGUGUACAUGGUGUGUGUGCAGUGUGUGUGUAUACAUGGUGUGCUGUGUACAGUGUGUGUGGUGUCUGGGUGGUGUCUGUGUGGGGUGUGUGCAUGUGUACAUGGUGUGUGUGCAGUGUGUGGUGUGUGUGUACGUGUGCACAUGGUGUGUGGGGGGUGUGUGCAGUGCGUGUGGUGUCUUGGUUGUGUGUGCAGUGUGGUGUCUGAGGGGUGUGUGUGCACGUGCAUGGUGUGUGGUGUGUGUGCAUGUGUACAUGGUGUGUGUGCCGUGUGUGCCGUGUGUGUGGCUUCUGCAUGUGGGGUGUGCAUGUGCACAUGACGUGGUGUGUGCCGUGUGGUGUGUAUGUGGGUGUGUGCGUGUGCACAUGGUGUGUGUGUAGUGUGUCUGCUGUGUGCAGUGUGUGGUGUCUCGGGUGUGCAUGUGCACAUGGCGUGUGUGGUGUGUGUGUGGUGUAUGGGGUGUGUGUGUGCACAUGGUGUGUGUGUGCAGUGUGUGUGGUGUCUGGGGUGCGUGUGUGCACAUGAAGUGGUGUGUGUAGUGUGUGUGAUGUCUGGGUUGUGCAUAUGCACAUGGUGUGUGUGCAGUUUGUGUGGUGUCUGUGUGGGGUGUGUGCAUGUGCACAUGGUGUGUGCACUGUGUGUGGUGUAUGUCUGUCUGGUGUGUGUGUGCACAUGGUGUGUGUGCAUUGUGUUUGUGUGCAGUGUGUGCAUGUGCAUAUGGUGUGUGUGCAGUGUGUGUGGUGUCUGUGGUGUGUGUGUGCACAUGGUGUGUAUGCAGUGUGUGUGGUGUGUGUGGGGUGUGUGCACAUAAUGUGUGUGCAGUGUGUGUGGUGUCUAUAUGUGGUGUGUGUGCAGUGUGUGUGGUGUCUGUAUGGGGUGUAUGCAUGUGCACAUGGUGUGUGUGCAGUAGGUGUGUUUGUGGGGUGUGGGCAGUGGGUGUGAGGGGUGUGUGUGCAUGUGCACAUGGUGUGUGUGCUGUUUGUGUGGUGUCUGUGUGUGGGGUGUGUGUGCAUGUGCACACGGUGUGGUGUGUGCAGUGUGUGUGUUAUGAGUGACUGCUUCUCUUAGCAUGUGGACAUCAGUCUUCCAGACCAGCUUUCUCCAUGUGUCUGGGAACAUAAGAAACAAGUUUCUGCAAUAAUUGUUACACAGCUUUUCCAGUGAGGGACCAAAUCUCUGUCGUGAGUGGGUAUCUGCAUCAUUUCGCAGGAGGGAAUGUGAUGUCCUGGCUUGGCUCACACCCUCUGUGGGUUUAGGCACAGGUUCCUGCUGGAUCCCUCACUGUGGCCAGAGAGGGAGGGCUCUGCUUCACCACAGGGCACCAGAAGAGGACUGGUGCGCGGGAAGACCAGAGAAGUGCAGGUUCACAGCUAAACGGAGCAGAGAGUACAGACUUCUCAUAUGUCCCUUUCCCCACACACAGCCUCCGCACUACAGCUUCCUGCCUCACAGGAGCACACCUGUGACAACCAGGAACCUACCUUGAUCCUUCAUUAUCACUCAAAGCUUACAGUGCACAUUCACGUUUACUCGUCACGUUGUGCGUUCUGAGUCUUGACAAAAGUAUAAUGGCAACAGGAUGUUAUUCACUGCUAACAGGAGAUGAACUAUCAAGCCACAAAAAAAUACAUGGAGGAAACUUAAAUGCAUAUUGCUAAAAUAAGAAGCCAAUCCGAAAAGUCUACGUACUGUUCGAUUCCAAUUAUAUGACGUUCUGGAAACGGUGAAACUAUGGGAUCAGUAGAAAGAUCAGUGAUUGCCAUGGACCAAGGGGAAGGAAGAGAUGGAUACACAGAGCACAGAGAAUCUUCACGGCAGUAAAACCAUUCUGUAUGAUACUAUAAUGGUAGAUAUAUACAUUUGUAAAAAUCUAUCGUAACUUUUAAUCUUUUAAAUUACAUUUUUUUUUUUGAUGGAGUCUUGCUCUGUCGCAAGGCAGGAGUGCAGUGGCAUGAUCUCGGCUUACUGCAACCUCCACCUCCCGGGUUCAAGCGAGUCUCCUGCCUCGGCCUCCCGAGUAGCUGGGACUACAGGUGCCCGCCACUGCGCCUGGCUAAUUUUUGUAUUUUUAGUAGAGACUGCGUUCACCAUCUUGGCCAGGCUGGUCUUGAACUCCUGACCUUGUGAUUCACCUGCCUUGGCCUCCCAAAGUGCUGGGAUUACAGGUGUCAGACACCGCACCUGGCCAUUUUUGUUUUAAGAACUGCAGACAAGCUGGGUGCAGUGGCUCAAGCCUGUAAUGGCUGCAUUUUGGGAGGCUGAAGUGGCUGGAUUGCCUGAGCCCCAGAGUUCAAGACCAGGUGGGCAACAUAGUGAGAUCCCGUCUCUACAAAAAAAGUAUUAAAAAAAUAGCCAGGCAUAGUGCUGCAUGCCUGUAGUCCCAGCUACUCAGGAGGCUGUGGUAGAAAAAUCACUUGACCCAGCAGUUUGAGGCUGCAGUGAGCUAUGAUCAUGCCAUUGCACUCUGGCCUAGGCGACAGAGCGAAACCCCAUCUCAAAACAAAGAACAACCAAAAACCUAGAAGCACACCUCAGAGAUAGUGUGGGUUUGGUUCCAGACAACUGCAGUAAUGCAAAUGUUACAAACAAAAACCUACAAGCACACCUCAGAGAUAGUGUGGGUUUUGUUCCAGACCACUUCAAUAAGGCAAAUGUUACAAUCAAGUUAGUUGCAUAAACAUUUUAUUUCCCAGUGCUUAUAAAAGUUAUGCUUAAACUAUA